UACGGGGGGGGCAAGCGUUGUUCGGAAUUACUGGGCGUAAAGGGCUCGUAGGCGGCCAACUAAGUCGGACGUGAAAUCCCUCAGCUUAACUGGGGAACUGCGUGUGAUACUGGAUGGCUUGGAUUUGGGAGAGGGAUGCGGAAUUCCAGGUGUAGCGGUGAAAUGCGUAGAUAUCUGGAGGAACACCGGUGGCGAAGGCGGCAUCCUGGACCAAUAUUGACGCUGAGGAGCGAAAGCUAGGGGAGCAAACAGG
rnacentral:rRNA from 1 species